rnacentral:tRNA from 6 species
GCCGGAAUAGCUCAAUUGGUAGAGCAACUGACUUGUAAUCAGUAGGUUGCGGGUUCAAGUCCUGCUUCCGGCACCA